AUCAGCCAUGCCGCGUGUGUGAAGAAGGCCUUAUGGUUGUAAAGCACUUUAAGCGAGGAGGAGGCUACUCUAGUUAAUACCUAGGGAUAGUGGACGUUACUCGCAGAAUAAGCACCGGCUAACUCUGUGCCAGCAGCCGCGGUAAUACAGAGGGUGCGAGCGUUAAUCGGAUUUACUGGGCGUAAAGCGUGCGUAGGCGGCUUAUUAAGUCGGAUGUGAAAUCCCCGAGCUUAACUUGGGAAUUGCAUUCGAUACUGGUGAGCUAGAGUAUGGGAGAGGAUGGUAGAAUUCCAGGUGUAGCGGUGAAAUGCGUAGAGAUCUGGAGGAAUACCGAUGGCGAAGGCAGCCAUCUGGCCUAAUACUGACGCUGAGGUACGAAAGCAUGGGGAGCAAACAGGAUUACAUACCCUGGUAGUCCAUGCCUUUUUUUUUUUUUUUUACU
rnacentral:rRNA from 1 species